rnacentral:lncRNA from 1 species
AAUAAAUCAUCCAAAAAUGCAUCAAGAAUGGGAUUAAAAACAUGUUACUUUUAUGCCUUAUCAAUGGGCUUCAAGAUGACAAUGUCCAAUAAAACCAUUAUCCAUGUAGCACAUGUGGGCUAAAUAAGGGCUAGAACUUGUGCGGGUGAUAGGACCAGAAGAAACUGAUCUCAUAUGUCUAGGUCCAGAGUGAGAAGCAACACCAGUAGAAUCCUCAUAGGAAUCGUCAUAGCGAUAACAACACCCGUGAGCCAUAUGACCAAUUUUUCCACACUAUGGUGGAGGUUGACUGUUAUAGGCAGGAAGCGACGUUGUGUCUUUCUCAGUUACAACAAGAUUUGCAGUAACAGGAACCUAGGAGAAAUUAGCCUGGUG